UUAAGUUAUUAAGGGCGCACGGUGGAUGCCUUGGCACUAGAAGCCGAUGAAGGACGUUACUAACGACGAUAUGCUUUGGGGAGCUGUAAGUAAGCUUUGAUCCAGAGAUUUCCGAAUGGGGAAACCCAGCAUGAGUUAUGUCAUGUUAUCGAUAUGUGAAUACAUAGCAUAUCAGAAGGCACACCCGGAGAACUGAAACAUCUUAGUACCCGGAGGAAGAGAAAGAAAAUUCGAUUCCCUUAGUAGCGGCGAGCGAAACGGGAAGAGCCCAAACCAACAAGCUUGCUUGUUGGGGUUGUAGGACACUCUAUACGGAGUUACAAAGGACGACAUUAGACGAAUCAUCUGGAAAGAUGAAUCAAAGAAGGUAAUAAUCCUGUAGUCGAAAAUGUUGUCUCUCUUGAGUGGAUCCUGAGUACGACGGAGCACGUGAAAUUCCGUCGGAAUCUGGGAGGACCAUCUCCUAAGGCUAAAUACUCUCUAGUGACCGAUAGUGAACCAGUACCGUGAAGGGAAAGGUAGAAAAGCACCCCGGAAGGGGAGUGAAAUAGAACCUGAAACCGUGUGCUUACAAGUAGUCAGAGCCCGUUAAUGGGUGAUGGCGUGCCUUUUGUAGAAUGAACCGGCGAGUUACGAUUUGAUGCAAGGUUAAGCAGUAAAUGUGGAGCCGUAGCGAAAGCGAGUCUGAAUAGGGCGUUUAGUAUUUGGUCGUAGACCCGAAACCAGGUGAUCUACCCUUGGUCAGGUUGAAGUUCAGGUAACACUGAAUGGAGGACCGAACCGACUUACGUUGAAAAGUGAGCGGAUGAACUGAGGGUAGCGGAGAAAUUCCAAUCGAACCUGGAGAUAGCUGGUUCUCUCCGAAAUAGCUUUAGGGCUAGCCUCAAGUGAUGAUUAUUGGAGGUAGAGCACUGUUUGGACGAGGGGCCCCUCUCGGGUUACCGAAUUCAGACAAACUCCGAAUGCCAAUUAAUUUAACUUGGGAGUCAGAACAUGGGUGAUAAGGUCCGUGUUCGAAAGGGAAACAGCCCAGACCACCAGCUAAGGUCCCAAAAUAUAUGUUAAGUGGAAAAGGAUGUGGCGUUGCCCAGACAACUAGGAUGUUGGCUUAGAAGCAGCCAUCAUUUAAAGAGUGCGUAAUAGCUCACUAGUCGAGUGACACUGCGCCGAAAAUGUACCGGGGCUAAACAUAUUACCGAAGCUGUGGAUUGUCCUUUGGACAAUGGUAGGAGAGCGUUCUAAGGGCGUUGAAGCAUGAUCGUAAGGACAUGUGGAGCGCUUAGAAGUGAGAAUGCCGGUGUGAGUAGCGAAAGACGGGUGAGAAUCCCGUCCACCGAUUGACUAAGGUUUCCAGAGGAAGGCUCGUCCGCUCUGGGUUAGUCGGGUCCUAAGCUGAGGCCGACAGGCGUAGGCGAUGGAUAACAGGUUGAUAUUCCUGUACCACCUAUAAUCGUUUUAAUCGAUGGGGGGACGCAGUAGGAUAGGCGAAGCGUGCGAUUGGAUUGCACGUCUAAGCAGUAAGGCUGAGUAUUAGGCAAAUCCGGUACUCAUUAAGGCUGAGCUGUGAUGGGGAGAAGACAUUGUGUCUUCGAGUCGUUGAUUUCACACUGCCGAGAAAAGCCUCUAGAUAGAAAAUAGGUGCCCGUACCGCAAACCGACACAGGUAGUCAAGAUGAGAAUUCUAAGGUGAGCGAGCGAACUCUCGUUAAGGAACUCGGCAAAAUGACCCCGUAACUUCGGGAGAAGGGGUGCUCUUUAGGGUUAACGCCCAGAAGAGCCGCAGUGAAUAGGCCCAAGCGACUGUUUAUCAAAAACACAGGUCUCUGCUAAACCGUAAGGUGAUGUAUAGGGGCUGACGCCUGCCCGGUGCUGGAAGGUUAAGAGGAGUGGUUAGCUUCUGCGAAGCUACGAAUCGAAGCCCCAGUAAACGGCGGCCGUAACUAUAACGGUCCUAAGGUAGCGAAAUUCCUUGUCGGGUAAGUUCCGACCCGCACGAAAGGCGUAACGAUUUUGGGCACUGUCUCAACGAGAGACUCGGUGAAAUCAUAGUACCUGUGAAGAUGCAGGUUACCCGCGACAGGACGGAAAGACCCCGUGGAGCUUUACUGUAGCCUGAUAUUGAAAUUCGGCACAGCUUGUACAGGAUAGGUAGGAGCCUUUGAAACGUGAGCGCUAGCUUACGUGGAGGCGCUGGUGGGAUACUACCCUAGCUGUGUUGGCUUUCUAACCCGCACCACUUAUCGUGGUGGGAGACAGUGUCAGGCGGGCAGUUUGACUGGGGCGGUCGCCUCCUAAAAGGUAACGGAGGCGCUCAAAGGUUCCCUCAGAAUGGUUGGAAAUCAUUCAUAGAGUGUAAAGGCAUAAGGGAGCUUGACUGCGAGACCUACAAGUCGAGCAGGGUCGAAAGACGGACUUAGUGAUCCGGUGGUUCCGCAUGGAAGGGCCAUCGCUCAACGGAUAAAAGCUACCCCGGGGAUAACAGGCUUAUCUCCCCCAAGAGUUCACAUCGACGGGGAGGUUUGGCACCUCGAUGUCGGCUCAUCGCAUCCUGGGGCUGUAGUCGGUCCCAAGGGUUGGGCUGUUCGCCCAUUAAAGCGGUACGCGAGCUGGGUUCAGAACGUCGUGAGACAGUUCGGUCCCUAUCCGUCGUGGGCGUAGGAAAUUUGAGAGGAGCUGUCCUUAGUACGAGAGGACCGGGAUGGACAUACCUCUGGUGUACCAGUUGUCGUGCCAACAGCAUAGCUGGGUAGCUAUGUGUGGACGGGAUAAGUGCUGAAAGCAUCUAAGCAUGAAGCCCCCCUCAAGAUGAGACUUCCCAACUUCGGUUAUAAGAUCCCUCAAAGAUGAUGAGGUUAAUAGGUUCGAGGUGGAAGCAUGGUGACAUGUGGAGCUGACGAAUACUAAUCGAUCGAAGACUUAAUCAA
rnacentral:rRNA from 1 species